rnacentral:rRNA from 1 species
AUUGAACGCUGGCGGCAGGCCUAACACAUGCAAGUCGAACGAGUGGCGGACGGGUGAGUAAUGUCUGAGAAACUGCCUGAUGGAGGGGGAUAACUACUGGAAACGGUAGCUAAUACCGCAUACCAUCAGAAGUGCCACGAUGGGAUUAGCGAGUUGGUGGGGUAACGGCUCACCAGGGCGACGAUCCUUAGCGGGUCUGAGAGGAUGACCAGCCACACUGGAACUGAGACACGGGCCGGACUCCUACGGGAGGCAGCAGUGGGGAAGAUUGCACAAUGGGCGCAAGCCUGAUGCAGCCAUGCCGCGGGUAUGAAGAAGGCUUUCGGGUUUUAAAGUACUUUCAGCGGGUAGGCGUUACCCGCAUAAGAAGCACCGGCUAACUCCGUGCCAGCCGCCGCGGUAAUAC